UACGUAGGGUGCAAGCGUUAAUCGGAAUUACUGGGCGUAAAGCGUGCGCAGGCGGUGAUGUAAGACAGGUGUGAAAUCCCCGGGCUUAACCGUGGAACUGCAUUUGUGACUGCAUCGCUGGAGUGCGGCAGAGGGGGAUGGAAUUCCGCGUGUAGCAGUGAAAUGCGUAGAUAUGCGGAGGAACACCGAUGGCGAAGGCAAUCCCCUGGGCCUGCACUGACGCUCAUGCACGAAAGCGUGGGGAGCAAACAGG
rnacentral:rRNA from 1 species